rnacentral:rRNA from 1 species
UCGAGAAUCUUCCUCAAUGGGCGAAAGCCUGAGGGAGCGACGCCGCGUGCAGGAUGAAGGGCUUCGGCUUGUAAACUGCUUUUAGUUGGGAAGAAGUGCAAACUGACGGUACCAACUGAAUAAGAGGUUGCUAACUCUGUGCCAGCAGCAGCGGUAAUACAGAGACCUCAAGCGUUAUCCGGAUUUACUGGGCGUAAAGCGUCCGCAGGUGGUUCUUCAAGUCAUGGGUCAAAUCCCGGGGCUCAACCCCGGAACUGCUCGUGAUACUGUUGAACUCGAGGUCGGAAGAGGCAAGCGGAAUUACUGGUGUAGCGGUAAAAUGCGUUUAUAUCAGUAAGAACACCAAAGGCGAAGGCAGCUUGCUGGAACGAUCCUGACACUCAUGGACGAAAGCGUGGGGAGCGAAAAGGAUUAGAUACCCCGGUAGUCCCUGAGCGGGCUGGCAAGGCGCAU